rnacentral:pre_miRNA from 10 species
UGUUUGUCUGGCUGUUUUCGGGUGGAUGACUUCGCAAUUUUAAUUCCAUUUAAGAUCUGACUGAAAAUUGCACAGUAUCCAUCUGUAAUCCGCCAGAU